rnacentral:snRNA from 1 species
GUGCUCCAAUAGGCAGCACAUAUACUAAAAUUGGAACGACGCAGAGAAGAUUAGCAUGGCCCCUGUGCAAGGAUGACAUGCAAAUUAGUGAAGCACUCCAUAUUUUU